UAUUUCAUAUUUUUAGGGUAUCAAAAUAUUUAAGAAUAUUUUAUUAGAAGAUCAACUUGCAAAAAACAAAACAACUAUUUACCGUCAAUAAGAGGAAGUGUUGAGUCUCAGGAAGUGGGUGCUGCACCUCUGCUCUCACUCGCUGACACACAAUGGCUGGACUCGGAUGGAUUGAAGUGUUAUUUCUGUUUCUGCAGCUUCACGUUACAGUGUUUGCAAAUAUUGCAUCUGUUUUAAAGAGAGUUGGAGAGGAAGUCAUGUUUUCCUGUCAAAAUGUGAGAGAUGUUCAACACAACUGUAAUGAAACAACAUGGCUGCUCUCUGGGCUCAAUGCAAAGGAGAUUGUGCCUUUGGUUACAUAUGGACAGAUUGAUGAGGGUACCGGAAGCAGACUCACUGUUACUCCAAACUGUUCUCUCGUUUUAAAGAACAUCACAGCCGAAGAUGUUGGACGUUAUGAAUGUCAACAAUAUAAAUAUGAAGGACUGGUUAACAAGUUUGUAACUGAUCUAUCUGUUAUUACCUUGGCUGAACAACAGGAGAACCAAACGAUCACAUUAAGCUGCUCUGUUUUAAAGUAUGGCUCCUGUAAACACAGAGUAAAGUGGCUUUUAAAUCAACAGGAAAUGAAAAUGAAAGAAAUAAAGACAUCAGCAGCAGGAUGCUCUGCUACUGUGACUUAUCCAAAGACAUUCUUUAAUAAGUUACCAUCAAUGGAUCAGUUUUUUCAGUGUAAAGUGACGCAAACUAGUGACCAAAAAGAACAGCUGUUUUCCUUCAGCUAUCAGUCCUCAGAAGAUAAAAAACAGAUGAAAACUCCAUCAGGAAGUAAGACAGUUUCAGCAGACCACAAAGGU